UACAGAGGGGGCAAGCGUUAUUCGGAAUUAUUGGGCGUAAAGGGCGCGUAGGCGGCCUGGCAAGUGGAAGGUGAAAUCCCUCGGCUUAACCGAGGAACUGCCUCCCAAACUGCUUGGCUUGAGACCGGGAGAGGUGAGUGGAAUUCCCAGUGUAGCGGCGAAAUGCGUAGAUAUUGGGAGGAACACCAGUGGCGAAGGCGGCUCACUGGACCGGUACUGACGCUGAUGCGCGAAAGCGUGGGGAGCAAACGGG
rnacentral:rRNA from 1 species